GGUAGACAGGACUAGGAAAAAAAUAAAGGCUAAAUUACAUAAAACCUCUCCGUCAAAAUCCGAUUUUUCACUUUCCUUCAUUGUCAUUUAAAAACCUACACUUUGCCCCUUAGUAAACUAAAAAAUGUUCACUUCGCCCCCUACCGUUAGUAAUCCAUUAGGGUUCCGUUUAUAAAAUAUUAUUAUAUAUUUUUUUAUGCCAAAAAUGCUCUCAGCCUUCUCUCCUGUGAAGUGUGAACAUGGUGAGGGGCAAAAUGGUCAUUUUAUCAUCACAGUUCACACCGUACCCUCCUGUGAACAUUUUUUAUUUUACAAGGGGGGCAAAGUGUAGGUUUUAAAUGCCAGGGGAGGAAAGUGAAAAAUCGGAUUUUGACAGAAAGGUUUUCUGUAAUUUAGCCAAAAAUAAAUAAAUAAAGGGC
rnacentral:lncRNA from 1 species